CCAGCAGCCGCGGUAAUUCCAGCUCCAAUAGCGUAUAUUAAAGUUGUUGCAGUUAAAAAGCUCGUAGUUGGACUUCUGGCAGGGCGCCGAGUGCCACAUCUGUGCGCACGAGGGCCCGGCCAUCCUUCUGUAAACGUUGAGGGCGUUCACUCGUCAGCUGCGGGAUCAGAUAAUUUACCUUGAGAAAAUUAGAGUGUUUCAGGCAGGCUUAGCCGGAAUACAUUAGCAUGGAAUAAUGGAAUAGGACUUAGUCUCUUUGUUGGUUCGGGGGACUGGAGUAAUGAUUAAUAGGGAUAGUUGGGGGCAUUAGUAUUUAUUAGCUAGAGGUGGAAUUCUCUAAUUUGAUAAAGACUAACUUAUGCGAAAGCAUUUGCCAAGGAUGUUUUCAUUAAUCAAGAACGAAAGU
rnacentral:rRNA from 1 species